rnacentral:rRNA from 1 species
CACAUGCAAGUCGUGCGGUCAAAAUGAGGGGGCUUGCCAGGACGAGCGGCGGACGGGUGAGUAAUGCAUGGGAAUGCGCCCGAUAGUGGGGGACAACCCUGGGAAACCAGGGCUAAUACCGCAUGUUUUCCACGGAACAAAGCGGGGGAUCUUUUCGGAGACCUCGCGCUAUCGGAGCAGCCCAUGUCCGAUUAGCUUGUUGGCGGGGUAACGGCCCACCAAGGCGACGAUCGGUAGCUGGUCUGAGAGGAUGAUCAGCAACGAAAGGGACUGGGACACGGCCCGGACUCCUACGGGAGGCAGCAGUGGGGAAUAUUGGACAAUGGGGGCAACCCUGAUCCAGCGAUGCCGCGUGAGUGAAGAAGGCUUUCGGGUUGUAAAGCUCUUUCGCAGGGGAAGAAAAAACGCGGAGUAAUACGCCGCGUCCAUGACGGUACCCUGAUAAGAAGCACCGGCUAACUUCGUGCCAGCAGCCGCGGUAAUACGGGGGGUGCAAGCGUUAAUCGGAAUUACUGGGCGUAAAGCGUGCGUAGGCGGCCGUCCAAGUCAGAUGUGAAAGCCCCGGGCUCAACCCGGGAACUGCGUUUGAAACUGGAGGGCUUGAGUUCGGCAGAGGAAGGUGGAAUUCCGCGUGUAGGGUGGGAAUGCGUAGAGAUGCGGAAGAACACUAAUGGCGAAGGCAUCCUUCUGGGCCGACACUGACGCUGAGUCACGAAAGCGUGGGGAGCAAACAGGAUUAGAUACCCUGGUAGUCCACGCCCUAAACGAUGCCCGCUAGCUGUCGGAGGUUCCAAUUUAUGGGUCUUUCGGUAGCGACNUAACGCGUUAAGNGGGCCGCCUGGGGAAUACGGUCGCAAGAUUAAAACUCAAAGGAAUUGACGGGG